AUGGAAAGACUGCCAAGGCUUGUUCACGCUUCGGACUAUUACCCUCUACUGCUCUUCCAUGUGGGCACUAAUGACACCAAGGGCAAACUGGAGACCAUCAAACAGGAUUUCAGAGAUCUGCGGAUGGUGGUCAAGGGUCUGGAAGCCCAGGUCAUCUUCUCCUCAAUCCUGCCAGUGAGGGGGAUGGAUGAGAGGAGGAGGAGACGGACUUCCCAAGUUAACGACUGGCUGUGCCACUGGUGUUGGCAACAGGGUUUUGGUUUCUACGACCAUGGGACCCUGUUUGAAGAUCGACAACUGAUGGCGAGAGAUGGGAUCCACCUCACUAAGCAGAGCACACCUGUCUGCCAACAGGUUGGCCAACCUGGUAAGGAGGGCUUUAAACUAGGAAAGAUGGGGGAAGGGCAGAGUUAUAGUGACAGGGUAGCUGUCAAAAGAAAGCUCAAGUCGGGAUGCCUCCAGCAGGUGAAUGCAGCCAGGGAAGUGCGCAUGGGAUGUGGCUGUGGAGGAUCCUCCUGUAUCUCUCCUGGGAAACCUGCAUGCUCGAUCACCUCCCUGAAAUGCCUGUACACCAAUGCACGCAGCUUGGGGAACAAACAGGAAGAACUAGAGAUCUGUGUGCGGUCGCAGGGCCAUGAUCUCAUUGCCAUUACAGAGACAUGGUGGGAUAGCUCGCAUGACUGGAGUGCUGUCAUGGAUGGCUAUGUGCUUUUUAGGAAAGACAGGCCAGGAAAGCGAGGUGGUGGAGUUGCUCUUUAUGUGAGAGAGCAACUGGAAUGUAUCGAGCUGUGCCUAGGGGUGGAUGAAGAGCGAGUCGAGAGCUUAUGGGUAAGGAUCAAAGGGCAGGCUAGCAUGGGUGACACUGUGGUGGGUGUUUACUACAGGCCACCUCAUCAGGAAGAGGAAGUCGAUGAGGCCUUCUGCAGACAGCUGGAAGUAGCCUCACGAUCCCAGGCCCUGGUUCUCAUGGGGGACUUCAACCACCCUGAUAUCUGCUGGAAAGACAACACAGCUAGGCACAACAGUCCCGGAGGUUCCUGCAGAGCAUUGGUGACAACUUCUUGA
rnacentral:lncRNA from 1 species